AUAAAAUAUUGCAUAUUGACAGCAAUAGCCCAGUUGCGGAUUUAUUGAUACUAUCUUUGACCUUUAGAAACUUUUUUUUCUAUUAUACAUAAGAAAAUAUCAACUAGGUAAUAGGAAUAAAUGAGAAACGGUGGAGAGAGACAAUAAUGAAGACUGGUAGGCGUUGGAGUACAAAAGGUUACUGUGGGAUUCUUCUAGAAUGCUGAUUACAGCUUGAUCUUAUCAAGGUCUGGCAUGGAAGACCACUUGAAUUCAUCUCCAACCCUGGGAGCGAAAUAAGAACUUUCUUUUUUGCUUCUGAAAUUUUAAGCUCUUUACAGACACACUUUUUACUUAAUCUGCAUGACAUCAGAGAAAGGGAACAAUUUGACCAAAGAAAGAAGAAAAGGUGGACUAGCAGAUCUCAUAUAUCAACAGUCUCUGGAUGGUGGGAGGUCCAUUCAGCAGAAAUAAAAAUGAGCAUACAAUGUUUCUAAUGUAUUUAAUUUGGAGAAAAACAUUUUCCUUUUUUUAAUAAACAAAGUUAAUCACAUAUUUUACCUCUGGUAAAAGAAUAUUAAUUAAAUUGAUUAUGCUCACAUUAGAGAACAAUAUAACCUAUCAUGGUCAAAUAACAUUUAUGUUUAUAUUCAUUAUUACAAGCAUUAAAAAGAAAUAAAUAGUGUUGUGGCAGACACAACUUUAACAGGCAGAGUCUCCUGUAUCUGGAAGUUUAUCAUCUAUACUGCUAGAGAGACUUGAGGAUAUUUUAAUAGUACUUAAUUAACUAAAAUUUAAGAGAUUAUUGCUUUCAGCCAUUUAAAAAUUAUUAAUUGAACAUUGACUAUCUGCCUGGUAUGUGUUUACCAUUAUCCAUUAAGAGCUUGUUAUUUAGUUGGGGAAAUCCAAGUCAAGAUACAGUAAAUACUCAAGAAACUUAGCAAACAUUUGAAUUAAAAAAUGACACCCAUAUUUUAUGGUAUAUUUAUAGUAUUGUUUGUAAAACAAUAAGAAAAACCAUUAAUAUCCCCCUCCAAAAAUAAAUGGAAGAAAUUUUCCAUUUUCAAAAUUAUUAAUAUUCCCAUCAAAUAAACACUAUUUUGACCUAUCCUAUUGGAAAUAAAUAAACUCUUUUAUCCAAGAAUGAUAUUUAUUGAAGAAACGAGUACGCUUAUAUACUUCCAAUGCUAAUAAAAAUAACUAAAAUUUCUGGAGUUAUUUUUUAAACAUACCAGAAAGUCUUAAAAUUUUACAUUCCAGUUAAAACAUAUAUUCAAUAUUUAGUAAUUCAUGCUAAAUUAUCAUAAAUAUUUUCAAAGAUGUGAAUAAAAUAAGCCUCACUGAAAAUAUAUUUAUAUAAAAUAUUGAAACAACUAAAAUGUUCAUAUCCAUGCUACAAACUGAUAUGAUGAAAUUCUAUUCUGUCCAAAAAUGAUAUAGAACAAUAUGUAAAGACAUGCAAAAUGAUCAUAACUUAUAUGAAACAUAAAUGAGAUGAUUUUUAAAAUCUUAGUUCAGUAAAAACUGAGAGAAAUCAAAGUCGAUGUGGAUGAAGGCACCAAAAAGUGGAAUGAAUAAAAUCACAUACACUGGACUGUGAAGAAAAUAAUGUUUUUUAGUAAAGCAACCCACACAAUACAAGAAUUUUUCAUUGAAAAAAAAUUCACUGGCGUAGAAGCCACUACUGCCUCUAAAAGAAGACCACAAGGCAGACACCCAGAGACAACUGUGUCUCCAACUAGGAAGCAAGCAGAAGCUCUAUCACCGCCCACAGCAAAGAUUCAAAAUUGGGCAACCUGUGGCCUUGGCAUCUGACUGGUGCGGCAAGGAAGGAGGAUGGUAGGCAAGCGCUACUGUGCCCAACCCGGAGCUGCCUCUUCGCAGUCAUCAGGACCAAGUCCCCCAUUACAGCUCCUGUGGAAGGGUCUGGAGGUACCUGCGUCCGGGGCAGGAAACCAUGAAUGUGCCCUUCUGCCCCCUCCCAUUUCUGCCCCUCUUUGAGCUCCCGUCCUUAACUGAAGAGCCGGUGACUAUUGGCUGAAGUUGCCCCAGCGAUUUGCAUGAACCGAGAGGAGGGAGUGUCUUCUGCCGCCCUCCCUUCCCGAGCGCGCUGACUGCAGCCUCCCAGGGAAUGCGCGGCCGAGGGAAUGCGCGCAGCUCGCGGGCCCUGGCAGUGAGCUGGUGCCCGGCGACCUGGCACCCGCGCCUGGAUAUGGGGCGUCUACCUCGUCCCAAGAGCAGCACCAGCCACAGGAAUCUGCCGCAUCUGUUUCUGUUUGUCCUCUUCGUGGGACCCUUCAGCUGCCUCGCGAGUUACAGCCGGGCCACCGAGCUUCUGUACAGCCUAAACGAGGGACUGCCCGCGGGGGUGCUCAUCGGCAGCCUGGCCGAGGACCUGCGGCUGCUGCCCGGGGCUGCAGGGAGGCGGGACGCGCAGUCGCAGCUGCCAGAGCGCACCGGUGCUGAGUGGAACCCCCCUCUCUCCUUCAGCCUGGCCUCCCGGGGACUGAGUGGCCAGUACGUGACCCUAGACAACCGCUCUGGGGAGCUGCACACUUCAGCUCAGGAGAUCGACAGGGAGGCCCUGUGUCUUGAAGGGGGCGGAGGGUCGGCGUGGGGCGGCAGCGUUUCCAUCUCCUCCUCUCCUUCUUCUGACUCUUGCUUUUUGCUGCUGGAUGUGCUUGUCCUGCCUCAGGAAUACUUCAGGUUCGUGAAGGUGAAGAUCGCCAUCAGAGACAUCAAUGACAACGCUCCGCAGUUCCCUGUUUCCCAGAUCUCGGUGUGGGUCCCGGAAAAUGCACCUGUAAACACCAGAUUGGCCAUAGAGCAUCCUGCUGUGGACCCAGAUGUAGGCAUUAAUGGGGUGCAGACCUAUCGCUUACUGGACUACCAUGGUAUGUUCACUCUUGACGUGGAGGAGAAUGAGAAUGGGGAGCGCACUCCCUACCUAAUUGUCAUGGGUGCUUUGGACAGGGAAACCCAGGACCAGUAUGUGAGCAUCAUCAUAGCUGAGGAUGGUGGGUCUCCACCACUGCUGGGCAGUGCCACCCUCACCAUUGGCAUAAGUGACAUUAAUGACAAUUGCCCUCUGUUCACAGACUCACAAAUCAAUGUCACUGUGUAUGGGAAUGCUACAGUGGGUACCCCAAUUGCAGCUGUCCAAGCUGUGGAUAGAGACUUGGGGACCAAUGCUCAAAUUAUCUAUUCUUACAGUCAGAAAGUUCCACAAGCGUCUAAGGAUUUAUUUCACCUGGAUGAAAACACUGGCGUUAUUAAACUUUUCAGUAAGAUUGGAGGAAAUGUUCUGCAAUCCCACAAGCUCACCAUCCUUGCUAAUGGACCAGGCUGCAUCCCUGCUGUAAUCACCGCUCUUGUGUCCAUUAUCAAAGUUAUUUUCAGACCUCCUGAAAUUGUCCCUCGUUACAUAGCAAACGAGAUAGAUGGUGUUGUUUAUCUGAGAGAACUGGAACCCGUUAACACUCCCAUUGCGUUUUUCACCAUAAGAGAUCCAGAAGGUAAAUACAAGGUUAACUGUUACCUGGAUGGUGAAGGGCCAUUUAGGUUAUCACCCUACAAACCAUACAAUAAUGAAUAUUUACUAGAGACCACAAAACCUAUGGACUAUGAGCUACAGCAAUUCUAUGAAAUAGCUGUGGUGGCUUGGCACUCUGAGGGAUUUCAUGUCAAAAGAGUUAUUAAAGUGCAACUUUUAGAUGAUAAUGAUAAUGCUCCAAUUUUCCUUCAACCCUUAAUAGAACUAACCAUCGAAGAAAACAACACACCCAAUGCCUUUUUGACUAAGCUAUAUGCUACAGAUGCUGACAGUGGAGAGAGAGGCCAAGUUUCAUAUUUUCUGGGACCUGAUGCUCCAUCAUAUUUUUCCUUAGACAGUGUCACAGGAAUUCUGACAGUUUCUACUCAGCUGGACCGAGAAGAGAAAGAAAAGUACAGAUACACUGUCAGAGCUGUUGACUGUGGGAAGCCACCCAGAGAAUCAGUAGCCACUGUGGCCCUCACAGUGUUGGAUAAAAAUGACAACAGUCCUAGGUUUAUCAACAAGGACUUCAGCUUUUUUGUUCCUGAAAACUUUCCAGGCUAUGGCGAGAUAGGAGUAAUUAGUGUAACAGAUGCUGAUGCUGGGCGAAAUGGCUGGGUUGCCCUCUCGGUGGUGAACCAGAGUGAUAUUUUUGUCAUAGAUACAGGAAAGGGCAUGCUGAGGGCUAAAGUCUCUUUGGACAGAGAGCAGCAAAGCUCCUAUACUUUGUGGGUUGAAGCUGUUGAUGGAGGUGAGCCCGCCCUCUCCUCUACUGCAAAAAUCACAAUUCUCCUUCUAGAUAUCAAUGACAACCCUCCUCUUGUUUUAUUUCCUCAGUCUAACAUGUCUUAUCUGUUAGUACUGCCUUCUACUCUCCCUGGCUCCCCAGUUACAGAAGUCUAUGCUGUUGACAAAGACACAGGCAUGAAUGCUGUCAUAGCUUAUAGCAUCAUAGGGAGAAGAGGUCCCAGGCCUGAAUCCUUUAGGAUUGACCCUAAAACUGGCAAUAUUACUUUGGAAGAGGCAUUAAUGCAAACAGAUUAUGGGCUCCAUCGCUUACUGGUGAAAGUGAGUGACCAUGGUUAUCCCGAGCCUCUCCACUCCACAGUCAUGGUGAACCUAUUUGUCAAUGACACUGUCAGUAAUGAGAGUUACAUUGAGAGUCUAUUAAGAAAGGAACCAGAGAUUAACAUAGAGGAGAAAGAACCACAGAUCUCAAUAGAACCAACUCACAGAAAGGUAGAAUCUCUGUCCUGUAUGCCCACCUUAGUAGCUCUGUCUGUAAUAAGCUUGGGUUCCAUCACACUGGUCACAGCGAUGGGUAUAUACCUCUGUUUAAGGAAAGGGAAAAAGCACCCCAGGGAAGAUGAAAAUUUGGAAGUACAGAUUCCACUGAAAGGAAAAAUUGACUUCCAUAUGCAAGAGAGAAAGCCAAUGGAUAUUUCUAAUAUUUGAUUAUUUCGUGGUGGAGUAACACAGAGAGAUGUUUUAACUGACUUGGGAUCUUCAUCACCUAAAAAGAGUGUGUUGAUGGCAGUUCCAAUGAAGGACGACUAAUUUAUAACUUGUUCUAUAUUGUAAAUAGCUGUUUACAGGUUUUUAAAUUCAGAGGUUAUAAAAUGUGUACAGCGUUUUUAAGUGAAAAUUAGUACUAACAGCUAUAGGACUGUUAUUAAAAAAAAUGCUUGGACAUGGUUUGCAGCUUUCAUAUACCAAGCAGAUGAUUGAUAAAACCUGGGAGUAAGGUAAGGAAAUUGUACAAUUUUUUUAAUCUAAAAAGUCCUGUCACCACAAGAGGGCAUCAGCUGCUCCUUCGCAGGGAACUGAGGUAUUGUACUUGACAGUUGUAGAUGAAAUUAAUGAAAGAGUAUAUUUUAAAUAUAUUGUUUUUAACAUUAAACAAAUAUGAAAUUAAAGUAAAUUAAAUUUCACCCUAUUUAAAUAUAUGAUAAGAAAAAAAGAAAUGCACUUGUAAACAGAAUGUCUAUUACCUCAUAAGUGCAUAUAUAGUUUGAAAGAGAAGGCAUUAAAAAGAAGUGCAAUUCCUUUUUAGCAAGGAUAAAAACAUUAUCUUGUGUUACAAAUUCGACCUGCUGAAGCAUAUUCCACUUUCUGUGUACUCGAAUUGCUUUCUGUUUGCUUUACCACUGCACUAGCUAUUAUUACAGAGGAAGUAUAUAUAUACAUAUAUAUGUAUAUUCUUUGUUACAGAAAAUGUAACUAGACAUUGUGCCCAAGAAAAACAGCGAGAAGCAAAGAAAUGCUUCAAUUGUUAGUUGCUUCAUAGAUAUUCAUGACAUUUUAGUGCUUUCACAACUUCUUGGUUGUACUUUAUACUUGGGUUACAUGUUAGAUUUUUAUAGGCUUAAAAUCAUCCAUCACAUAAGAAAAUAGAAAUCAUAUUAAAACCGAAUUCUUCUAGAGGUUUGUGUACACUAUUGGUUGUUUUCGUUGGGCAUUUUACAGGAAAGUUAUACUGUACCUAUCUUUUCGUUGUUGUUUAGGUUUGUUGGCUCCCAUUUCUGGAUUCCUUUCUUUGGUUUUUGGAUUAAGUCCAACAGUUUAUUUGUAAGCUCGGCAGCAGAUUUCCUUGAUAAUUUAGCUUUUACUGAAUCUCUUGCAAUGAAGAAAGCUACUUCAUCAGUGAUGUAUCACUUUCACUUCAUUGUGUGAGCUGGAAAUAUUAUUUUAUAUGAGAGCUAUAGCAAAAUAAUCUGUAUAAACAAGGAAUGUGUUAGCUCAAACUGGAUUAUUUUACUUUUUGGCAUCAUGCAUCUCUGUACUGUACCAAAAGUGUUUAUAUGUCUGCAAAUUAAAGGUAUAUAUUUUCAUAA